rnacentral:tRNA from 1 species
GCCGAUGUAGCUUAGUGGUAAAGCAACGGUUUUGUAAACCGUCGACGAGUGUUCGAUUCACUCCAUCGGCU